rnacentral:lncRNA from 1 species
CUGUCGUCAGACUUAAUUUUUCCUGUGACGACAUGAUACGCUAGGUUGGCGCGUUGGCGUGUGGGUUGACUGUGCAGGACGGAAUGCUGGGCCAAUGGCUGUUACCGAAGCACAUCUGUGAGAUACAGAGGCGGAGGAAUAUAAUGAUAAUGUUAUUUCAUUAGACAUCAAUGCUCCACUGCAGCUAAUGAAGUGUUUGCGUAGAAAUUGUUUGUACGGAUAAAAAAAUACAUCUAAACUCAACCCGUGCAAAAGAGACAGCGGUCGGUCAAUGUACAGCCUGGCUUGCUGCUCCAUGGACGUCGAGGGCAACCAGUACUCGGAAUACUCGCUGCAAAAUUAGCGAAUAAAGUCGACACCAUUAAGCGGAUUAUUUCCUGGCUGAAAGCACUCGGGUUACUGUGACACAUUUUGCGCGCCGCGCUGACGAAUACGAUUACACCGUCGAACUAUUAUUUCCCGAGAUCGAAACACGAUUUGUCCCCUCGACCCACUUUGAGGUUUCACACGCAAAAUUCACGAAAAUUCAUCAGCAAGCGCAUGCCACACGGUCCUGUACUGCACCGCACGUCAGCUGCACGCCUCGUGGGAAGACAGCAAGAAUGUAGCCAGUUGUACUCUGGCAGACGUCACUUAAAGAGGCCUCACAUCACUCCUGUUCCUAGGUUUCAUCUUUUGUAAUCUUUCCUUCACGCACUGACAUCAGGAUGCAUACUUGCGCGUCAACAAAGUCGUUCCAGUGAAUUGGAGAGCAGAGCACAUUCACAGACACACCGGCAAGUAGAAAGACAAAGUUGGCGCAGCAGGACUGCGGGUC